rnacentral:misc_RNA from 1 species
UCAGCAAUGUCUGCGGCUAUGCUGUCUUUAGGCGAUCGCAUUGGUCGAGAACUCGCUACAGGGGGAAUGGAUCGUGUCUAUGUUCAAGGUCACGAUGGCUUUAGUAUUUUGACCAGUUGUGAUGAAGAUGCCGUCUUUCUCGUACUUGCGAAUAAAGAGGCGAAGCAGGGGAUUUUGAUGUUAGAAAUUAAACGCACGCUUGCCGAGCUAAUGCUUGUUUUGAGGUAGAUUACGGCAAAAAAGGAUGGUCUUUUUUUGUCGGUCAAAGUACAUUGGGUCGAGUGGAGUGAAAUUAGCGCUUAUCCGUUCCACCUCGGAGGUUUCCUUCUUUGUAUCCUUUGAGAUUUGUGAGAUUCAAUUUCUUGAUGUGGCAGUUGUGAUUUCCCAAUACACUACUCGCAUAGUUUUCCACAGUCUCAGCCCACGGGAAGUUGCUCAUUCGCAAUCGCCACGGUAUUCCAGGAAUAGGUGGCAAGUUCAACGCUUCUCGC